ACACUGUUUGUAGAAGGCUUCAAACAGUUUAGGUGAAAAGCAGGAAAUUUUAUAAGUUUAUGGUUUCAAAUAAAUAUAACCUUGCUUUUAAUUAGAUUUCGUAGAUGAAAUGUUUUCACACAUAUAAUUUUUUGAAUACAUUUUGAGAAGCAUUCAGUGGUUUAACAGUUGUCAAUCUCCAUAAACAUCCUUAGUUAUGGGUAGCAUUGCUUAAAUGAAGACUGGCUGCUUUGGACAUUGAUGUUAAAAAUAAUAUAUACAGACAUGUGACUUGAUGACAUAUUGCUAAAACAUUGGAAACAAUAUUGACUUUACUCUGCUUUUGCAGAAAGCUACUCACAUAUGAAAUUAAUGUAGCUAAAACAUAAUCUUUUCCCAAAAUUACUCCAUACUCUUAAAGUUGUAAAAGUAUGUUUUUAAAAAAAAUACACUUACAUAUUAUAAGCGAAUCUAUUAAUGAAAUGUUAUAAUAUUUAAAUCCUAAAUAGUAAUACUUAUUGAUUCUUACCUAAUUGAUGGGUUAAGGAGAUUUAAAAGAUUAGUUAC
rnacentral:lncRNA from 1 species